CGUAGUAUAUCUCAGUGGUAAAAUGCAUGCUUAGCAUGCAUGAGGUCCUGGGUUCAAUCCCCAGUAUCUCCA
rnacentral:tRNA from 1 species